GCACCGGGGUCCAGGAGGGACACCAGGGCCAGUGGCAAGUGAGACACCGACCUGCAGAGGGUGCUUCUGGAGGCUGGCUGACUAAUUCCCUGGACGACCAGCAGGAGAUGCUGCAGGGAAGAAAGCUCUUAUUGGUUGUACCACACAAGGAAAUGCAUGACAUCACAAAAGGUAGAAAAGACAAGCUUCACAGCAUACUCCUAAGUGAUUUAAAGUUUCAGCAGACCACACCCUACUGGUUACUUAGCACAGAGGAAGGGCUGCACAAGCCUGCAUGUUCAGACUUCUCAGCUUAUCAACAUUUAGUACAGGUUUAAAGAGCUGAAUGAAAACCUAAGGACUGGUUCAAGACAAAGAUUUGUGGUUGUUUUCCCCUGAAGGAGGAAGAGGCAGCUAGAAAAGACUGAAUAACCCUUUUCUGCUUUAGAACUUUUGAAAUUUAAGCUUCAUUGUUUCUUAAGAAGAUGGACUUUGAACACAGCCCUAGGUCUCUAACCACAGACUCUGGCUUCAAGGAUCCUAGGUUCUAUUCCUGGUUCUGCCAUUGACUUGCUGAGACCUCAGGCAAAUCACUUAAAUAUCACUUAUCCCUUUUUUGCUUUUUUAUGGUGCAUAAAUGAGGCCUGAGCAAUUUUUUCUGAUUGACUUUAUUUUUAAAAGCAGUCAAAAUAUCAGGUUUGGUUUUCCUUACUUUUGCUAAAGGACCUCUGGGAGGAAUCAGAGAAUGUUUAUUGUAAGAUCUAACACCUUCAUUGAAAAGACAAAGGUGCUGAAUUUAAAAAAAAUUCCUUUAUCCAUAAUGUUAGUCAGUCAUUGGAAUUAUAUAGGUGUUAGCAAAAACAACUAAAACCAGACUUUUAAAACCAGUUUAACGAGAAAUCACUUUCCCCCUCAAUUGUUCAACUUUCACUUUCUUGGCUCUUGAGAUGUCACCAUUUCACUAAUUUUCCAAUAGUCACAGAGUUUCAGGCCUAGAAUAUUUUUAGUAUGAAAAAGAAGCCUUUUUUAAAGAGACCUUUCAAGCCUUUUUUAUAUAAUAUACAGCAACAAAAAAGACCACAGCUUAUUCCUCUCCCUCCUCUGCCCCAUUCCUCCAUCUUGCAGGUCUCCUUUAUCCUAACUGUCUCAGUUUAUCUAUCUAUCUUUACCUGUUUCACUGUUUUUUAAUCCUUCUAGUGUUUUUUCAAUAGCUACAGAUGAAAAGUACUAUGGAAGUGCUAAAUAUUAUUUACAACACUGUUUUUGUAAAGCAAAAACACAAUUAAAAUAAAUUUAUAUAUUCCUUUCUGUAAGUCCAUCACAGCACCUUCCCUAAAAUAGGAUAGUUGUAAGUAAGUUAAAAAAAAUCUCUCUUUACUUUUAAAUUCAUACUUCAAACUAAAAAACAAGUUAUCUACUCCGAACGUAGCAUAUUCGGUCAGAUGCUACUGACCAAUUAUAGCCUGCAAGUAGAGUGGUUUAAAUAGCUCAGUUUAGAGCCAUGCAAAAAGAAAAUAAUCCAAACCCACAUUUAUUUUAAAAAAGUCAAUUUCUUAGGAGUCAGCAGCUGAAGAAUCAGUACUAGAAUGACUAGCCUUUUAAAAAUUAAGGUCAAUACUCUGUAAUCUUGAUUUCAAGUUUGACUAUUUUAGAACAGGCAAGCUAAACAUUACAAAAAUCUUACCUUUUAUAGAUAAGAAUAAAAAAAGAAAGUACCAGGCCAUAAACAUCUAAGAGAUAAAAAGCCAUACAGGUAAUACAGCAUUGCAAUAAAGUGACUGAGCAUGAAUGUUUACAAUAACAAAAACAUCUUUUUUGUCUGAAAGAAUAUUUUCAUUGGAGGAAAACUAAUCUAGUGAUUACAUGAAUCACUAAAAAUACAGUGCCUUCAAUUACCAUAAUGAUAAUUUUCCACUAAGAAAGGAAGCAUUAUUCAGUUCAAACAUUAUUUUCAAAGGAAGGAAGGCCAGUUCUGAAGAUGUACUCAUUAUAUAACACCGAUCCUGUAGCAAUCCUAUUUCAUGUUAAAAACAAAAUAAAAAAUUCAGCAGU